GAUCUUAAAGCCAGAGAAGAUAAAAACUUCUUACUAAGAUUAAAAGGACGCGGUAACCUUGACCGUGGUAAUGUAGCAUAAUCACUCGCCAUUUAAUUGAUGGAUAGUAUGAAUGGUUGAACGAAUAUUCCACUGUCUUAGAAAAAAUUAGUAAAAACUGAAAUAGUAGUUAAGAUGCUACUUUAAACUGUAAGACGAAAAGACCCUAUAGAGCUUAACUAUAAUCUUUAUAUAACUAAAAAAACAAUAAUUUUCACAUUAUAAAGAUUGGUAGUUUAGUUGGGGCGACUGUCUUCUAUAAUAAACGAAGAUAAGCAAUGUUAAUAGAAAACUUAUUGUAUAAUAGAACAAUUUAACAAUUACGAAAGUAGGCUAUAUUGACCCGUUAAUGCCGUAAACUAGGAAUAACGAUCAAUUAAUAAAAGCUACCUUAGGGAUAACAGGAUAAUUUCAUUCUAGAGUUCUUAUCGAAAAUGAAGUUUGUCACCUCUAUGUUGAAUUGA
rnacentral:rRNA from 1 species